AUGUCCUCGAGUGCAGCAGCUAAACUGAUUCAGUAUGUGGUGGUAAACGGGGAGAUUGCCAAAACAUGGCCAAAGGGAGCAGUGAUAGCACAGUGCUGUCAUGCGGUCGCGGCUGUUUCGCACCUCUAUGCCACUGACCCGGAUACGGUGGAGUAUUUCAAGGAUUUGGACAACAUGCAUAAAGUGGUGCUUGAGGCUCCGGACGUUGGCAAACUGAACAGCUUGGGCGAGGUGCUGCAGCAGAACGACAUUAAACAUAAAGUGUGGAUCGAACAGCCGGAAAACAUUCCCACCUGCAUUGCACUGAAACCCUACCGGAAGGAGGAUGUUCAUAAGAAAUUAAAACGAUCCGUAACAUGUGACCUGAACAUGAACCAUUGACAGUUACUACAGUCAGACUGUACAUCAACAGAACACCAAACAGUGAACUACGUAGGGUUAGAUCUAUCAUGGCCGGGAAGACUAUAAAACACUGGAAAACUCGGGGUACGGAACUGUCGUCGGGAUACCGUCACAGGCAUUUAUAUAGUUUUGCAAUCUGCUUGGAUAGUUAUAAUAAACUGUCAACGCACCUCCGAUUUAUAGCGGAAGCCUCCAGUAAAAUUCCUUCUUGUCUGCAAAGGUUGGUUCUAUAUUGCACACCAUUAGUUUUUUUAAUGACGACCUACCCAGAAUGGAGAUGCCAGCUUACCCGGCCUGGACGAAGGAAUUAAGUGUAGCAGAAUUUAUGUAUUAGCGAUUAAGAUUAAAGGUGUCAUUAGACGUUGCUGUUGAGCAUAGA